UCUCUUUUUGUACAACAUCUCAUACACAACUCAAAAUUAUUGGUAAAAAGUCGCUUUAACUUACUAUGAGCAGUAGCAAUGGAUGCACAGAUGUAGUACAUGGUCAAACUGUUGUCAGUGAUAACUAUGGACUUGAUGGAUUGGACACUAUAUCAGAAACUCUAGUAGACGAGGUAUUACCAGAUACAUCAUCUAAUUAUUCAGCAUCUCCAGAUGAAUCAAAUCGCCUCAUAUCCCUUAUGGUACCAAAAAUAGCCACAUGGAAUGAACAAAAUAGCAAAUUAUUGGAAAAAGAUAACGUACGAACAACAUCCUCAAUAGAUUCGUCUAUAUAUCAAAAUUCGGAUAGUGAUGAACUGGAUCAGAAUGACAAACCACAGUUGUCCAGAAUUUUGAAACGGAUUACUUGUAAAUCAAACUCUGAGUCCAAAACUUCAACUGAUACAAUAUGCCGGAUAUGCCAUGGAGGCGAGAGUAGCGACGAUCUGGUGAAGCCUUGCAAGUGUCGUGGUACAGUGGCCCUAGUCCAUUUGAAAUGUUUGGAAAGAUGGCUCAGAGAGUCCAGUCAUAGUAACUGCGAGCUAUGUCAGCAUCACUAUAAAAUUAUACGACAACCGAAGUACAGCAUUAUUAAAUCUAUUUUUGUCUUUCUGCGACAUCCUGGAACACAUUUAAAAGAAAUUUUAACUGAUUUGUUGGCCUUUUCGCUGUACACUCCGUCUGCGAUUGCUUCGACCUACAUGUUAAUGAUGAUAUGCGAAUCACUCUUAAAAAACAAUAUUAUUGUCAGUGGCUCACUCUCAUCCCAUCUGAUUGCUUUUUCAGCGGUGUUUGGAAUGGCAGCAGCCAUAUCUAGUUCUUAUUGUUGUUGGGUGUUAUACCGUCUACUAAUUCAUUUUUGGGUUUGGAGAAAAUGGUACCAGUCUACAGUGGAUAUAAAACUGAUUUUAUGAAAAAAUAAAAUUACCAAGCCAAUUAGUUCAAAGAACUAAUGCUAUAUAAAGGCAUAGCCGCCAUAGACUUUACUUAUUCCUGCUGGAUCAUGUCACUAGCAGAGAAACACUACAACGUUUGGAGUGACUGGUACAAGAAGAAUUUAAAACUCAAAGUUGUCGUUUCGAAACUGGACACUAAAACAGUCAAAAGGAAAAAACCAAGGAACACUAAAUAUCUGAAACGAUCCAACAAAGUCUAAAUCCAAACGGUGGUGAACUGAUAAGUAGAAGUGGUGGUGCAAAUAAAAAAUUUCGAAAACGA